UGCCACUAAUGGACCGCCUUCACACGCCUUCAGCUCCAGAAUCAGGAGAGAGAUUGCUUCACACACGCACUCAGCCUGCUCAUUCUCCAGCCCUGGGGGAUCGAAGAGGAACACACUUGUGUCACAGAGUGAUGAAGAGCAGGACGCACAGGACGCUGUUUGUGUUCAUCACACAGUGAAAACCUUCACAUACAAGAUCUGUUACUGAGCGCUGCACUGUUCGGAUCUCCAGACUUUGAAAGGCGCGAGCGAUGUGGACAGAUGUGCUGCUGAUCCAGAUCUGAAUCAUCAAGACAAAAGAGAAGAGGAAGAUCACUGGAGGAGAAGAGAAAGACAGAAGGCUGUUAGAAAGUGAAGAUAGAGGAAGAAAAAGAGAGAUAUGAUGGAUCCGUUGCCUAUGGAUUCAGGAACAGUGGAUGAGUUGGUGGACUUCUGCAUACAAUCCUUUGACAGUGAAGGCACAAUUAAAGAUACAUCAUUUGUGAAAAUGUUUCUGAUGAUGCAUC